GCGAACGUUUGCGGCGGGCCUAACACAUGCAAGUCGAACGGGCUAGCAAUAGUCAGUGGCGCACGGGUGCGUAACACGUGGGUAAUCAACCCUUCAGCUCGGGAUAACGCCUUGAAAGGGGCGCUAAUACCGGAUACGACGCGAGGAUCUUCGGAGCUUCGCGGGAAAGAUUCGCAAGGAUCUCUGAAGGACGAGCCUGCGGCCCAUCAGCUAGUUGGUGAGGUAAGAGCUCACCAAGGCGAAGACGGGUAGCUGGUCUGAGAGGAUGAUCAGCCACACUGGAACUGAGACACGGUCCAGACUCCUACGGGAGGCAGCAGUGGGGAAUAUUGCGCAAUGGGCGAAAGCCUGACGCAGCCACGCCGCGUGAGCGAUGAAGGCCUUCGGGUCGUAAAGCUCUGUGGGGAGAGAAGAAUAAAGCCUGUGAAGAAUGGGCCUUGACGGUAUCUCCUUAGCAAGCACCGGCUAACUCCGU
rnacentral:rRNA from 1 species